ACGGUACCGGCAUAAGAAGCACCGGCUAACUACGUGCCAGCAGCCGCGGUAAUACGUAGGGUGCGAGCGUUAAUCGGAAUUACCGGGCGUAAAGCGUGCGCAGGCGGUUUUUUAAGACAGGCGUGAAAUCCCCGGGCUCAACCUGGGAACUGCGCUUGUGACUGGAAGGCUAGAGUAUGGCAGAGGGGGGUGGAAUUCCACGUGUAGCAGUGAAAUGCGUAGAGAUGUGGAGGAACACCAAUGGCGAAGGCAGCCCCCUGGGCCAAUACUGACGCUCAUGCACGAAAGCGUGGGUAGCAAACAGGAUUAGAUACCCUGGUAGUCCACGCCCUAAACGAUGUCAACUAGGUGUUGGGUGGGUAAAACCAUUUAGUACCGGAGCUAACGCGUGAAGUUGACCGCCUGGGGAGUACGGCCGCAAGGUUAAAACUCAAAGGAAUUGACGGGGACCCGCACAAGCGGUGGAUGAUGUGGAUUAAUUCGAUGCAACGCGAAAAACCUUACCUACCCUUGACAUGUCCAGGAGCCUGAAGAGAUUUGGGUGUGCCCGAAAG
rnacentral:rRNA from 1 species